rnacentral:rRNA from 1 species
UUAAGCAUAUCAAUAAGCGGAGGAAAAGAAACCAACAGGGAUUCCCUUAGUAACAGCGAGCGAAACGGGAAAAGCCCAGCUUGUAAAUCCCCGGCUUGCCGGUGAAUUGUAGUCUGGAGAGGUAAUCCCUGGGCUGCAGCGUGCCGAAGUAUUCUGGAAUGAAUCGUCAGAGAGGGUGAGAGCCCCGUAGGCAUGUGCGCAGUCCUUCACGGGAUGCUUUCGUCGAGUCGGGUUGUUUGGGAAUGCAGCCCUAAUUGGGUGGUAAACCCCAUCUAAGGCUAAAUACGGACGAGAGACCGAUAGUGAAAAAGUACCGUGAGGGAACGAUGAAAAGACCGCUGGCAAGCGAGUGAAAUAGUACAUGAAAUUGUGUAGUGGGAAGGGAUGAGCCGGUUAUAUGCUGUCAAGCUUAUGGCGUUCCACGAACGCCUGUAUGCAUUGAUGGCUUGCUGCCACGGGCGCGCGCGGCUGUAUAAAUCAUUACAAAGGCGUGAUGUGGUGCAGGCGCGUUCGCUGAGGUGUGAUGAACGCUUUGCUUUUAGCUGCGUUCACAAGGUGGCAGCUGAAGCCGGUUGAUCUGCCCGUCUU